rnacentral:rRNA from 1 species
CCCUUAGAUGUUCUGGGCCGCACGCGUGCUACACUGAGUGGAUCAGCGGGUCAGGUUGCGCGAAAGUGUUUCCUAAUCUUUAAAUCCGCUCGUGAUGGGGAUUGACGGUUGCAAUUUUCCGUCAUGAACGAGGAAUACCUUGUAAGCGCGGGUCAUCAUCCCGCGCUGAAUACGUCCCUGCCCUUUGUACACACCGCCCGUCGCUCCUACCGAUUGAGUGGUCCGGUGAGGCUUUGGGAUCUGAGCGGAAAGAGCGUUUCGCUGUUUCUGCCCGGAAAACUCAGUCGAACCUUAUCAUUUAGAAGAAGGAGAAGUCGUAACA